AAAGGCCCUCAGUGACUCUCAUCUCAAUCCAAAGAAAAGCAAAAAGCAAGACUGUUCGUCAUGCUCUGGCCUGUUACCUCUCCACUGUCACCUCCUACUAUUCUUGCCUCGCUCACUCUGCUUCAGCUAGAGUGGCUUCUUGCUAGAUCCCCCAAAAUACCCCGCAUGCCUCUGUCUUAAGGCCUUUGUACAUGCUGAUCCCUUGGCCUGAACACCUUUCUUUCUAAUCUCUGCUUGGCUCAUGCCCUUUGUUAAAAAAUGACAUUGUCAGAAAGGCCCUGCAUGACCAGUCAGUGUGAAAACACACCCAGCCAAUCUUUAAGUUUCAUACCCUGCUGUAUUCUUCAUAGCACUUGCCAUUACCUAACAUAUUUAAGUAUUUGUAAGGUUCUGAGCAGGGCUCUGGGGAGCGCAGCAGCCAUGGCCAGCCACCUCGUGCUCAACAACGGCACCAAGAUGCCCAUCCUCGGGCUGGGCACCUGGAAGUCCCCUCCAGGCCAGAUGACUGAGGCUGUGAAGGUGGCCAUCGACGUUAGGUACUGGCACAUUGACUGUGCCCACGUGUACCAGAACGAGAAUGAGGUGGGGGUAGCCACUCAGGAGAAGCUCAGGGAGCAGGUGGUGAAGCGUGAGGAGCUCCUCAUGGUCAGCAAGCUGUGGUGCACGUACCAGGAGAAGGGCCUGGUGAAAGGAGCCUGCCUGAAGAUGCUCAGCCCCAUGAAGCUGGACUGCCUGGACCUCUACCUUAUUCACUGGCCGACUGGCUUUAAGCCUGGGAAGGAAUUUUUCCGAUCGGAUGAGUCAGGCAGCAUGGUUCCCAGUGACACCAACAUUCUGGACACGUGGGUGGCCAUGGAAGAGCUGGUGGAUGAAGGGCUGGUGAAAGCUAUUGGCAUCUCCGACUUCAACCAUCUCCAAGUGGAGAGGAUCUUAAAGCUGGUUUAAAGUAUAAGCCCGCAGUUAGCCAGAUUGAAUGCCGCCCGUACCUCAUUCAGGAGACGUUAAUCCAGUAUUGCCAGUCCAAAGGCAUUGUGGUGACUGCCUACAGCCCCCUCGGCUCUCCCGACAGGCCCUGGGCCAAACCUGAGGACAUUCCCUUCUGGAGGACCCCAAGAUCAAGGCGAUCACAGCCAAGCACAAUAAAACUACAGCCCAGGUCCUGAUCCGGUUCCACAGGCAGAGGAACUUGGUGGUGAUCCCCAAGUCUAUGACACCAGAACGCACCGCUGAGAACUUUAAGACCUUUGACUUUGGACUGAGCAGCCAGCAUAUGACCACCUUACUCAGCUACAACAGGAACUAGAGGGUCUAUGCCUUGGUGAGCUGUGCCUCCCACAAGGAUUAGCCCUUCCAUGAAGAGUUUUGAAGCUGUGGAUGCCUGCUUGUCCUUAAGUGACCUAUACCUGUGUUUCCUGCCUCAUUUUUUCCCUGCAAAUGUAGUAUAGCCUGUGUCACUCCGCAGUGGGACAGCAACCUGUAGAGUGGCCAGCGGGGGCGUGUCUAGCUUGAUGUUGGAUCUGACGAGGCCUGUCAGUAGAGUAGAAGUCUCUUUCAGUUUGCUGUGCCCUUCUUUUUGCCCCGCUGGGGAAAGUAUAACCUGAAUACUCUUUUCUGACCAAAAAGCAGCAAAAUCUGCCAGGUCAAAAUGGUGCCACUGACAGCUGAGUUUUGACCACUUGGAACUGUAAUCCUCUCAGCAAGACUCCUCUUUGCCUCAAAUAAAAAGUGCUUUUGUGAAAUAAAAAAAAAA